GGUUAAGUGACUAAGCGUACACGGUGGAUGCCUUGGCAGUUGGAGGCGAUGAAGGACGUAUUAACUUGCGAUAAGCCUAGUCAAGCUAGUAAAAAGCGCUUGAGACUAGGAUUUCCGAAUGGGGAAACCCACCUGCUUGCAGGUAUCUUGCACUGAAUACAUAGGUGUAAGAGGCGAACGCGGAGAACUGAAACAUCUAAGUACCCGUAGGAACAGAAAUCAACCGAGAUUCCGGAAGUAGCGGCGAGCGAAACCGGACCAGCCCUUAAGCUUAUUAUGUGUUAGUGGAACAUUCUGGAAAGUUUGACGAUACAGGGUGAUAGUCCCGUACACGAAAAUGCAUCUUAAGUGAAAUCGAGUAGGUCGGAGCACGUGAAACUUUGACUGAAUAUAGGUGGACCAUCAUCUAAGGCUAAAUACUCCCAACUGACCGAUAGUGAACCAGUACCGUGAGGGAAAGGCGAAAAGAACCCCUGUGAGGGGAGUGAAAUAGAACCUGAAACCGUGUACGUACAAGCAGUAGGAGCCCUUCGAGGGUGACUGCGUACCUUUUGUAUAAUGGGUCAGCGACUUAUAUUUUGUAGCGAGGUUAACCGAUUAGGGUAGCCGUAGGGAAACCGAGUCUUAACUGGGCG
rnacentral:rRNA from 1 species